GAUGAACGCUGGCGGCGUGCUUAACACAUGCAAGUCGAGGGGUAGAGGCUUUCGGGCCUUGAGACCGGCGCACGGGUGCGUAACGCGUAUGCAAUCUACCUUGUACAGGGGAAUAGCCCAGAGAAAUUUGGAUUAAUGCCCCAUAGUAUAUAACCUUCGCAUGUUGGUUAUAUUAAAGUUCCAACGGUACAAGAUGAGCAUGCGUCCCAUUAGUUAGUUGGUAAGGUAACGGCUUACCAAGACGAUGAUGGGUAGGGGUCCUGAGAGGGAGAUCACCCACACUGGUAAUGAGACACGGACAAGACUCCUACGGGAGGCAGCAGUGAGGAAUAUUGGUCAAUGGGCGCAAGCCUGAACCAGCCAUGCCGCGUGCAGGAAGACGGUCCUAUGGAUUGUAAACUGCUUUUAUACAGGAAGAAACCCUCCCACGUGUGGGAGAUUGACGGUACUGUAGGAAUAAGGAUCGGCUAACUCCGUGCCAGCCGCCGCAGUAACAC
rnacentral:rRNA from 1 species